CCCUUAGAUGUUCUGGGCUGCACGCGUGCUACACUGAUAUUGCCAAUAUGUCAUUCUUAUCCGAAAUGGAUUGGGUAAUCAAGUAAUGAAAUUUCAUGCUUGGAAUCGGUAAUUGCAAUUUUGUCGUGAACGAGGAAUUCCUAGUAAGCACUAGUCAUCAGCUAAUGUUGAUUAUGUCCCUGCCCUUUGUACACACCGCCCGUCGCUACUACUGAUUGGGUGUUCAAGUGAGAUGCUUAGACCCUUGUUGCAUGGUUCAUUAUUGUGCUCCGAAAGGAAAAAGUUUCAAGCUUGAGUGUCUAGAGGAAGUAAAAGUCGUAACA
rnacentral:rRNA from 1 species